UGAAGCAUGCGCAGUGUGAGUAAUGGCGAUGGAGCGAUGCUUUGUUCUCAGAUCCGGAAUCGGAUAAUAGAAGAGAAGAGAUGGGAAACCCAAACCAAACAUCACUUAAAAAUCUGACAGAAUCACUCAAUUCAUCAGGACCUGGAUAGUAUCGGCCUCUGAAUGGUAUUAAAAGGGGAAGAUUUGCAGUUGGAAAACUGAAACCAAAUGCCACAUCAGGAUCUGAUGGAGUUGCCCAAUUUAUCAUAACCUGAAUAUCACUGGAUUUUGAACAUGGAAGGAAAAAGCACCAUUCACAGCAGGGAGAAACUGUAUGCCUGUUUCAUGUGCAAACGAGGCUUCAGCCGAUCAUCUGGCCUGUCAACACAUAAAGGCAAAUGCAAUGGGUAGAAACCAUGGAAAUGUGAGGACUGUGGGAAGGGAUGCAAAUCCCCAUUGGAGCUGGAAAUUCAUCUACGCAGUCAUACAGGGGAGAGGCCAUUUAACUGCUCUGAGCGUGGGAAGUGAUUCUCUCGUUCAUCUGACUUGCUGACACACUAGCUAGUUCACACUGAUGAGACCUUUCAAAUGCUCAGACUGUGAGUCAUGCUAUAAAAGUUACAAGCAACUGAUGUCCCAUCAGCGUGUUCACACUGAGAAGAGACCGUUCAGGUGCUCUCACUGUGGGAUUGGGUUCAAGGCAUCAUCUGACCUCACUAAACAUCAGCGCACUCACACUGGGGAGAAGCCGUUCAUCUGCUCAAAGU